rnacentral:rRNA from 1 species
GGUGGGCACUCUAGAAUGACUGCCGGUGACAAACCGGAGGAAGGCGGGGAUGACGUCAAAUCAUCAUGCCCCUUAUGACUUGGGCUACACACGUACUACAAUGGCUGGUACAACGGGAAGCGAAGCCGCGAGGUGGAGCCAAUCCUAUAAAAGCCAGUCUCAGUUCGGAUUGCAGGCUGCAACUCGCCUGCAUGAAGUCGGAAUUGCUAAUAAUCGCGGAUCAGC